rnacentral:piRNA from 1 species
UGCUUGCGGCUUAAAACAGAGACUUUUAAAGU